UACGUAGGGUCCGAGCGUUGUCCGGAAUUAUUGGGCGUAAAGAGCUCGUAGGCGGUUUGUUGCGUCGGCUGUGAAAUCCCGAGGCUCAACCUCGGGUCUGCAGUCGAUACGAGCAAACUAGAGUGUUGCAGGGGAGACUGGAAUUCCUGGUGUAGCGGUGAAAUGCGCAGAUAUCAGGAGGAACACCGGUGGCGAAGGCGGUUCUCUGGGCAUGUCCUGACGCUGAGGAGCGAAAGUGUGGGGAGCGAACAGG
rnacentral:rRNA from 1 species